UAUCCUAACCGUGCGAAGGUAGCGUAAUCACUUGUUCUUUAAAUGGGGACUAGUAUGAAUGGCACCACGAGGGUUAUACUGUCUCCCUUUUCCAAUCAGUGAAACUAAUCUCCCUGUGAAGAAGCGGGGAUAAAAAUAUAAGACGAGAAGACCCUAUGGAGCUUUAAAUUUCAAUUCAAAGCAUAAUGAAAUAGAAUUUUAGGUUGGGGUGACCGCGGAGUACGGAACAACCUCCACAUUGAACUAGGCCUAUUACCUUGAGCAACGAACUACAAUCCUAUGCACAAAAAAAUUUACAUUCAUUGACCCAAUUUUUUUGAUCAACGAACCAAGUUACCCUAGGGAUAACAGCGCAAUCCUCUUCAAGAGCCCCUAUCGCCAAGAGGGUUUACGACCUCGAUGUUGGAUCAGGGUAUCCCAGUGGCGCAGCCGCUACUAAUGGUUCGUUUGUUCAACGAUUAAAACCCUACGUGAUCU
rnacentral:rRNA from 1 species